GGCGGGCCCGGGGGCGGAGUCACGCCCGCUUAGACCCUCGCGGGAGGGAGACCCAGGUGCCCUCAAGUUCCUGCCUGAUGUUUGGAGCUACUUCCAAGCUAGGUGUUUUCUAGAUGGGUCCGAUUGAGCCCCUGUAUCUUCUCCAUGCUCCUGCCUCACAUCCAUCAUCACCACAGGACUCUCCUCUCCACACAGCACUGCUUCCAUAUGUGAAAAGAGAAGGGAAAGGACAGGAACUAUAUUUGGAAACUUUCCCCAAGCAGUUCUGUGUAUGCAAGUAAAUUUGGACAAGACAAUGUUUACAGGUAAGUCUGAGGCCCAAACUAUCAAACUCACUAUAUGACAUUCUCUUGAAGCAUCUUU
rnacentral:lncRNA from 1 species